GGCCUGAUAGCACAACGGUUAGUGCGGCUGUUCUAACUGGAACUGUUCUAAAUCUUCCAGCAGAAGAUUCCUGUUCGACUCGGGGUCAGGCUG